rnacentral:lncRNA from 1 species
AUGAAUUGCUUUUUAAAAUUCUGUCGAGCAUGAACCAAGUCACCAUGAAGUAAACCAUUCAGGGAAAAAAAGCACAACUUGCAAUCCUACAAUAAAUAUAAUUUCACUAUUCAGUAAAAAAAGUUAUUCAGUCUCGAAGUAAUAAUAAAUGCAGUCAUGGUACCAACUAGUACGAUCACAGUAUAGAACAAAAUAGCUGCGACAAACUUAAUGUUUCUGCAACACUGGAUGUUUCAAAUUGUUUAUCUCCAAUCAUCA